rnacentral:rRNA from 1 species
AUUGAACGCUGGCGGCAGGCUUAACACAUGCAAGUCGAGCGGGGGAAGGUAGCUUGCUACUGGACCUAGCGGCGGACGGGUGAGUAAUGCUUAGGAAUCUGCCUAUUAGUGGGGGACAACAUCUCGAAAGGGAUGCUAAUACCGCAUACGUCCUACGGGAGAAAGCAGGGGAUCUUCGGACCUUGCGCUAAUAGAUGAGCUCAAGUCGGAUUAGCUAGUUGGUGGGGUAAAGGCCUACCAAGGCGACGAUCUGUAGCGGGUCUGAGAGGAUGGUCCGCCACACUGGGACUGAGACACGGCCCAGACUCCCACGGGAGGCAGCAGUGGGGAAUAUUGGACAAUGGGGGGAACCCUGAUCCAGCCAUGCCGCGUGUGUGAAGAAGGCCUUAUGGUUGUAAAGCACUUUAAGCGAGGAGGAGGCUACUCUAGUUAAUACCUAGGGAUAGUGGACGUUACUCGCAGAAUAAGCACCGGCUAACUCUGUGCCAGCCGCCGCAGUAA